AUCAAGGAAUACCUGCAGGAAGAGCUGCAGAAAACUGAAGCUAGGAUCAAGGCAUUGGAGAAGAGGCUGGAGGAAGAAAUGAAAAUCAUUACAGAGAAAGUUAAUCCCCUCCCUCAGGCUUCAGAAAAUCAAGGACAUUGGUGAACCCCAUGGAAAAUCCCAUCAUGAAAUACACUGAGCUGGAAUAUAUUGGCAGCGGGACUUUUGGAGAUGUUUGUAGAGCACUCGACAAUGCCACAGGAGGAGAGGUGGCCAUAAAGAAAAUGAAUCUUCAAGCACUGAGGAAGAAGGAACUAAAAGUCAAUGAACUCAUGGUCAUGAAAAUGAAUAGGAAUCCACAGGUGCUCAACUGUUU